AGAGUUUGAUCAUGGCUCAGAGCGAACGCUGGCGGCAGGCUUAACACAUGCAAGUCGAGCGGGCGUAGCAAUACGUCAGCGGCAGACGGGUGAGUAACGCGUGGGAACGUACCUUUUGGUUCGGAACAACACAGGGAAACUUGUGCUAAUACCGGAUAAGCCCUUACGGGGAAAGAUUUAUCGCCGAAAGAUCGGCCCGCGUCUGAUUAGCUAGUUGGUGAGGUAAUGGCUCACCAAGGCGACGAUCAGUAGCUGGUCUGAGAGGAUGAUCAGCCACAUUGGGACUGAGACACGGCCCAAACUCCUACGGGAGGCAGCAGUGGGGAAUAUUGGACAAUGGGCGCAAGCCUGAUCCAGCCAUGCCGCGUGAGUGAUGAAGGCCCUAGGGUUGUAAAGCUCUUUUGUGCGGGAAGAUAAUGACGGUACCGCAAGAAUAAGCCCCGGCUAACUUCGUGCCAGCAGCCGCGGUAAUACGAAGGGGGCUAGCGUUGCUCGGAAUCACUGGGCGUAAGGGUGCGUAGGCGGGUCUUUAAGUCAGGGGUGAAAUCCUGGAGCUCAACUCCAGAACUGCCUUUGAUACUGAAGAUCUUGAGUUCGGGAGAGGUGAGUGGAACUGCGAGUGUAGAGGUGAAAUUCGUAGAUAUUCGCAAGAACACCAGUGGCGAAGGCGGCUCACUGGCCCGAUACUGACGCUGAGGCACGAAAGCGUGGGGAGCAAACAGGAUUAGAUACCCUAGUAGUCC
rnacentral:rRNA from 1 species